rnacentral:tRNA from 1 species
UGGGUUAUAGCUCAAUAGGUGGAGCAUUCGGCUGUUAACCGAAAGGAUGUGAGUUCGAACCUCACUAACCCAGCCA